ensembl:lncRNA
AGGCUUUUCCUCGUUGCCUGUGCGCCAUCUUUACUGGGGGCAGCUUCCGGCAUGAGGCAGUCCACAGGUUGAAGGCGUGGUGUCUCUGAAUUAGUUAACCCGCGGAAGGGAAGCUGAAAGAGACGCGGGUCCUCCGGUACCGCUCCGGUCACCGUCGGACGGCGGACCGCGCGGCUAUUGGCUGAAAGGGACGCCCUGCUCAGUGUCGCCACAUCCGGCACUGCUCUCGGCUUGUGGGGCUCGUUGGCUCAGUACCCGCGGCUGUUUAUUCGUGAUUCACCCCUGACCGCGGCGGCCUCUCCGCCCUCCGUCCCAGCCUCCUUUUCUGGCUGCUUGCGUUACCUGGGGCGCCUGGUCCGGCUGCUACCCUGACUGGGGCUGGACUCAGCAAAUUGUUUACACAGACAAAUAGGCCCUGAUUAACUCGUUCAACCUCAUGUCUCAUUCUACCACUUGACCUAAAGUUUUUCCCCUUCCCUCCUGUCAGGCGCAUCUCUUCUCUUAGGCUGUAGAACCCAUUUCUGUCCACCUCUUUCGAGGCAUCACGGUGCCCUAGCCCUUUCUUAGCUCCUCUCCCUUUAGCUUCUCUUUCUCUGCUGCUGCUGCUAAGUCGCUUCAGUCGUGUCCGACUUUGUGCCCACCAGGCUCCUCUGUCCCUGGGAUUCUCCAGGCGAGAAUACUGGAGUGGGUUGCCAUUUCCUUCUCCAAUGCAUGAAAGUGAAAAGUGAAAGUGAAGUCGCUCAGUCGUCCUCGACUCUUAGCGACCCCAUGGACUGCAGCCUACCAGGCUCCUCCAUCCAUGGGAUUUUCCAGUGUUGCUGUUGCUGCUGCUAAGUUGCUUCAGUCAUGUCCGACUCUGUUCGACCCCAGAGACGGCAGCCCACCAGGAUCCCCCGUCCCUGGGAUUCUCCAGGCAAGAACACUGGAGCGGGUUGCCAUUUCCUUCUCCAGUGCAUGAAAGUGAAAGUGAAGUUGCUCAGUCAUGUCUGACUCCUAGCAACCCCAUGGACUACGGCCUACCAGGCUCCUCUAUCCAUGGGAUUUGCCAGGCAAGAGUACUGGAGUGGGGUGCCAUUGCCUUCUCCUUUUACUGAGAUAUAAUUGACUUAUAGCACUGAAUAAAUUUAAGGUGUAUAGCAUAAUAAUUUGAGUUACAUACAUCAUGAAAUUAUUAUUAUAAUAAGUUUAGGAACAUCCAUUAUCUCAUGUAGUUACAGAAUUAAAUAGAAAAUUUAAUGGAAAAAUAUUUUUUCCUUGUAAAGAGAAUUCAGGAUUUACUCUCUUAACUUUCAUAUAUAACAUACAUAC